rnacentral:rRNA from 1 species
GGGUUAGUAGGUUGGUCAUGCCUCUGGUAUGUACUGGUCUCACUGAUUCCUCCUUCCUGAUGAGCCGUAAUGCCAUUAAUUUGGUGUUGCGAGGAAUCUGGACUGUUACUUUGAAAAAAUUAGAGUGUCUAAAGCAGGCGAACGCUUGAAUACAUUAGCAUGGAAUAAUGAAAUAGGACGUUCGAUCCUAUUUUGUUGGUUUCUAGGACCGAAGUAAUGAUUAAUAGGGAUAGUUGGGC